CAGCGCCCGCCGUGCCCUCCCAUUGGUCGAACUCUGUCAUUGGCCAAGCCUUCUCAUUGGCCGAGCCCUCCCAUUGGCCCAGCCUGCAGGUACAGCAAGACGGAGCGCGGGGCACGCUGGGAGUUGAGAGGUUGUGUGAGCGGUACGACGGCUCUCUGCCGUUCCGUCCUGAAGGAUGCUGCAGUAGCCGGGAGCGCUUUCCGUUUCCUGCAGGCGGGCCCGGCCUGCAAGCACUGGGGUUUCAGAUGAAGAGUGUGUGACACGGGCCGGUUCUGAGGUUUGAGCCGGGGAAAAGAGCAGCGGUGCGGGCUGUAUGUUUCCGUGCUUUCCUUUUGGGAAGCGAGAGCUCUGUUUGCCCGGCGGAAGCAACUCUUCGUACUGAGAUACAGUUUCAGCUCGGCAGCACGAGGCUGCUGUAGCCGCUUAGGGCGACCCUCAUUCCCGCUUCCCCCGGGCGCCGCGCCCUGUGAGCCCGCGUGGAGCAGCCGCUCUGUCUGCGCAUGUUCCGGGCACGCGCGUGCUCUGUGGCGGGGGUGGCGCGGCCCGGCGUGAGUACGGAGGUUGGCUUCUUGAUGGCUGCCGUUGGUUGGUGGAGGGUAACGGUCUCGGGCUUCUCUUGUUCAGAAGCAGGUUUUGGGACCCCAGAGCUGAUGCAAUAUAAAAAUGUAGAAGCAGUUCCCAAAGGAGCUGGAAGAUACUGUUCCUUUCAGCUGAUGUGCCCAGAGCUUUGGUAGGGAUGUCAGGUAUUUGGGUGUUUGAAAUGAAGUUGGGAACGGUGUGAUGAGAGUUGGGUGCGUCCCCAAGGAAAAGGGGUGAAUUUCAUAAACUGGGUCUGAAAUGCCUUGUAAUGAAUCCAUGUGGAUUUAGUAAAAAGAAACUAAAAAUGAAAUAAUAAAAAAGUCUAAAGGUUUACACCUCAGUCUAGCAAGAUAAAACAGGGAAUCAAGUAAUGUGGCCUGGAAAGUCCUACUGGAAGCAGCAGGGAAUGGAAUGGCAGGAAAUCAGGAAACUUUUGGCCCCGUGACUGUAAUUUCCUAUGCAAGCAGUUGGAACUAGAUCCAAGGGGCUAAAAAUAAAUUCAAGGAGCAAAACAAGGUUCCCAUGCCACAAUGAACAACUGACAUGCAGAAUUGAGGCAGUUUUGUUUUUGUUUUUUUUAAUGUUAUUUUAAGAUAUGUGAUUUUUACAUGUUUUCUCUAUUAUGUUUUUUGCUUUGAAGCCAAGAGGGAGUUACCCUGCUAAAGCAAUACAAACAUUUACUGUCUUGAGGGGAAAAAAAUAUACCAGCUAUAGUCAGUCUGUCUGUCCAGGAGGGAUGCUGGACCAAAGAAGAGGUUGGGCUAAUUCCAGGAGCUAUGUUUUGGCACAGUGCACAGAUAACUUGUUUCCAGAAAUAAUCAACCUGAUCACCCAUACACCUUCAACAUGAGAAGUGGCAACGCCUAACUCAAUCAUCUGUCUAGAACCCAGAUGAGUGCUGGGUGGAGAGGGAAAGAAGACAUUCUGUCUGGCUUGUGAGAAACUGUAGCCACAGUAAACCACAGUAGCUAUAACUCAGAAGAAAGGCAGGGAUGUCUGAAACCUGCAUGAUACCAAGUUUGAAGUAAGUCAUUUUUUCUGCAUUUGAAAAUGGAAAAGAUGCAUGUUAGUUUGUUAAGCAGAUAGUAAAGAGAGAAGAUAGAGAUGUAGAAUGUGAGUUAGCAGAGCUAGUAUAGAUUGAACUCUCAAUUUUUUUUGUCCUUGCUUUUUCUUGUGUGUGAUUCAAUACAGUGCUCUACCUCUUACUGGAUUUGCAAUACUUUCUUAGGAGCCAUUCACCCAGUUAAGGAAGUAGUUUGUCUAGCAUUGACCAUGGCAAGAUCGAUUGAUUGUCCCCUCCAAACAGGACAAAAGACCAGCAUAUUAGCCGGACCUAUUGCUAUUUGUUGUUAACAAUGAAAGUAGAAUCUCGAGAUAUGUUUAUCAGGAAGGUGUAUGUAAACUUAGUUAGUCCUGCUCCUCACCAGUAGUUAGGGUUAAGAAAGAAGUGGUAGCACUAGGGUGUUUGUGAACUCUGGCAAACUAAAUCAGGUUGUUUGAAAGAAAAUUUUAUUCAUUUUUGGAAGGAAAUGAUACACUGGAUGCUCUAGCAAAUUAAGUCUGAUUCUUCACACUCCAUUUCAAAAGCCAGUAUUAGGGAAGGGGGGAGUCUCACAAACAUGGAAAAGACUGUUUUCCUUACACGACAAGGUCAGCAGUAAGUUGAAGUAGCAACCUUCACAGUGUGCAAGCUGUGUUGGAAGGCUAUUGGAACAUGUUCCUUCCUCCACUAACCUAUUAUCUGGGAGAGAUUCUGGUAUAUGCUGCAAGUGAUCUGAAGUAAUCUUAAAAAUACUAAUGCAAGGAGAUAUGACUUGUAUCUAAAAGACUUUGCUUACUCCAGCAGGUGAGAUAUGGGUAGUGAGCAGGGGCAAAUUAUUUUCUUUGAUAAAAUGGAAACAAUGCUAAACUGGUUUCUUGUAGAGCUUGGAAGGCAUGCAGAGUUUCUGCAGGGUUUUUCUCUUUAAAUUCUUUUGUGGGUAGGUCAAUAUUGCAAAACCAUUUCAUAAGUUGGGAAAGAAAAAGAGGACAUCUUAGUGUUAAGAGAGUGUUUUGAACAUUUUCAGUUUUUUUUUUUAAGCUGUUGUAACUGCCACUGUAUCAGUACAUUAAUAUUUCAAAACCUCUUUCAUAUCAGAUAUGGAUGCCAGUGUUUACCUAAGAAUUCAAACGUGAGUUGGAGGUGACUUAUUGCAGUGAAAGACUGAGGUUUUGCAUCUACUGGGUGGGAACUGGUAAUGGUUUAUCUGUUAAUAUUAACUUUCAGGUAUGUAAAAGUUUGUGACCAUGAUAGCUCACAUAUCUGUUGUUUAAGCAUGGCUAGCAUAGUCUUUAAUUAAGCUUUGUUUUAGUAAUCUACUAGGAUUUUUAUUUUUUUUUCUUGGAGUGUCUCUCUACUUCUAUUGAAGGCAUUGUAUAAUUUAGAUCAAAUUGUACCCCAAAGUAGAAGCAUUAAACCUGCCCAGUUUCUAUUUGUUUUGUGAAACAGUAUCUGGAACAAAGAGCCCCUGUUAAUAUCCUAUGGAGGACUUUGUGGAACUUGAUUUUUACCUUUCCGAGAGUCAGUGGUGAGCUCUCCAAACUUCACACGUGUAGUUGAGUCUUAUCUGCAGUCAGAACUUUUGUCCAUCUCAAAUAGGUAGGGAAGGGCUAAGUAAAGGAAGAUUCAUGGCUGUGGAAGGAGGUGAGGAAGGCAUUCCGUGUCUAGUGUGCAAAUUCAUAGGAGAUCUGUCAAUUCUGUAGCUCAUGGGAAAACUAUUCCAGCUUGGGAUCUUUAGUGAGUGGGAAUACCACGGUGUUUUGGCUUUGUAACAGAUGCCCAUACAGAAAUGUUGAUACUGAGACCCUUCUUAACAACUAAGGUGAUAAAGCAAGAAUUGCUCACUCAAAAGAUAAGUUCACAAAGCAGUCUUUCCCUCAAUUACAGAAGAAUAUAGUGAUAAGAUUUUAUCUGCAAGAUAAUGUGGGAAUGGGAAGCUGUGGGUUUGUUGUUUGGUGGUGUUUUUUUUUUUUUUUUUUUUUCAUGGAUCAACAAGACAUGGCUGGAAUAGCUAAUGCUACCAUUAUUCUCAUACUAGAAGUGUUUUACAGCAUCCUGAUAUUUGCUUAGAUCAACAUAGCCAGCACCUCCAGAAUUGUUCAGAAUUGGUUAGAAGUACAGAAGCCAAACUUGAAUUAUUUAGAUUUGGAAGUCUUUUUUCUCAAAGUAAAUAGUUGCCAGUCAAGUUAACUAAAAAUUGUUAACUACUUGGGAUGUAGUGCUUGUGCUUCAGUAUUUCUGUUUGGAAUGUAGUACAAUCUAACCCCUCCCCAUAACUAAUCCUGGUAUUUUCUAACUUUGUCCUCUGCAGGUAAUGAAAGUCACUGAAGUCACAUGCUUCAAAGUCAAGCUUUUGCAAGAUCAUGGCCUUCACUUGCAUUGAACAUGCUCUUCCUGCCCAGUGUGUUUUCAGUGAGGAGGUUCUCUGUAGAAGCCAUUAUUAACUUGGUUAAAACCACUCCCUCCUUUCAUUUACUACUUUGGUGACAUCUUAUUCUGUUCAUUAUUUUUAAGCUCUAUCUUGAACUAAAGUCCAAAAAAAUUACCAGAAAAGUAAGUAAAUUCUAUAAAGCAAAGGUGUUACUGAAGGUUGUCAAGAUACAACCUUAUGUUCAGAAUUGGUAACGUGCAGAGAACAAAGCACUUAAUUUAUAGUAGAGUUAUCAAGUCUUCCAGAGGUAAAUUCACUGCUAUGGUAAAAUAAAUUGUUGUAAUUGUAGCUGUUAGAUAACAUCACUAAUCCUCAGAUCUCAUUUAGCAGGAUGAUGGAACCAUGAAAUGAUUUGUGGCACACCGCAUUGGCAGAUGACACCCUAACGUUGACUGAAACCCACUGCUCAUGAUAGUCACUGAUGGGUCAGUCAUGCAUUUAAAUGGUUAUUUUAUUUCAGUAGCACAUACAUUGUUCAAACUGUUGCCAACUGUAAUGACUUUAUAAUGUCUCAAAUAGUUAAGUAUUCCUUAUAUUAUGAAGAAAAAAAAAGAGCAGAGGGCCACUAGAAACCACGUGUUAAAUAAAACAACAGAACAAAGUUCUAUUGAAAAAUCCAA